rnacentral:rRNA from 1 species
UGGGGAAUUUUACGCAAUGGGGGAAACCCUGACGUAGCGACACCGCGUGAGCGAAGAAGCCUUUUGGGGUGUAAAGCUCUGUCAGCUGGAACGAACACAAUGACGGUACCAGCAGAGGAAGCAUCGGCUAACUACGUGCCAGCAGCCGCGGUAGGACGUAGGAUGCAAGCGUUGUCCGGAUUCAUUGGGCGUAAAGAGUUCGUAGGUGGUCUGUUAAGUUUGGUGUUAAAGAGCGGGGCCCAACCCCGAUAGUGCACUGAAUACUGGCAGACUUGAGUGCGGUAGAGGUAAGUGGAAUUCCAAGUGUAGCGGUGAAAUGCAUAGAUAUUUGGAAGGACACCGGUGGCGUAAGCGACUUACUGGGCCGUAACUGACACUGAGGAACGAAAGCCGGGGUAGCGAAUG